GCCAACUUAGCUUAGUCGGUAGAGCAUCUCACUCGUAACGAGAAGGUUGUGGGUUCGAUUCCUACAGUUGGCU
rnacentral:tRNA from 1 species